UUCUGCAACGAAGAACGGAGUGGAAUCCGUCCAGUGAGUAACUCGAGCAAAGGGAGUACGGCCAAACCCCCAAUGCGGAAGUGACUAUCCCAAAGGGGGAAAAUUGGCAUCUUGUUCAGAUAAAUAAAUAAACCAACAAAAGGGGAGAAGUUGGAUCAGAAACUUAUUACAUGCCAGCGCUACUGCUCGAGGUCAACGGUAAGUGGACGAGAACCAGUAGAUAAUUCCACAUGUAGAAUGGAAAGACCUGGGCUGCUAGUGAGUGCAAUG
rnacentral:lncRNA from 1 species